rnacentral:rRNA from 1 species
GCCAGCAGCCAAAUCACCCUGUAGCACUCAAUUGGCCCACUGAAGCUAAGCAGGGUGUGAAUCUGGUCAGUACCUGGAUAGGAGGCCUCCUGGGAACCAAUGGUUGCUGCUGGAA